rnacentral:rRNA from 1 species
CCUACGGGAGGCAGCAGUGAGGAAUAUUGGUCAAUGGGCGUAAGCCUGAACCAGCCAAGUCGCGUGAGGGAUGAAGGCUCUAUGGUUCAUAAACUUCUUUUAUAAGGGAAUAAAGUGCGGGACGUGUCCCGUUUUGCAUGUACCUUAUGAAUAAGGAUCGGCUAACUCCGUGCCAGCAGCCGCGGUAAUACGGAGGAUCCGAGCGUUAUCCGGAUUUAUUGGGUUUAAAGGGUGCGUAGGCGGCCUUUUAAGUCAGCGGUGAAAGUCUGUGGCUCAACCAUAGAAUUGCCGUUGAAACUGGGAGGCUUGAGUAUGUGUGAGGCAGGCGGAAUGCGUGGUGUAGCGGUGAAAUGCUUAGAUAUCACGCAGAACCCCGAUUGCGAAGGCAGCCUGCCAAGCCAUAACUGACGCUGAUGCACGAAAGCGUGGGGAUCAAACAGGAUUAGAUACCCGUGUAGUC